rnacentral:rRNA from 1 species
AUUGAACGCUGGCGGCAGGCCUAACACAUGCAAGUCGAGCGAGCGGCGGACGGGUGAGGAAUGUCUGGGAAACUGCCUGAUGGAGGGGGAUAACUACUGGAAACGGUAGCUAAUACCUCAUACCCUCAGAUGGUCCCAGAUGGGAUUAGCUAGUAGGUGGGGUAACGGCUCACCUCGGCGACGAUCCCUAGCUGGUCUGAGAGGAUUACAAGCCACACUGGAACUGAGCCACGGUCCAGACGCCUGCGAGAGGCAGCAGUGGGGAAUAUGGCACAAUGGGCGAAAGCCUAAUGCAGCCGUACAGCGUGUGUGAAAAAGGCCUUCGGGUUGUAAAGCACUUUCGGCGGAGAGGCGUUACCCGCAGGAGAAGCACCGGCUAACUCCGUGCCAGCAGCCACGAUGAUAC